rnacentral:rRNA from 1 species
AACGAACGCUGGCGGCAGGCUUAACACGUGCAAGUCGAGCGCCCCGCAAGGGGAGCGGCAGACGGGUGAGUAACGCGUGGGAACGUACCUUUUGGUUCGGAACAACUCCGGGAAACUGGAGCUAAUACCGGAUAAGCCCUAACGGGGAAAGAUUUAUCGCCGAAAGAUCGGCCCGCGUCUGAUUAGCUAGUUGGUGAGGUAACGGCUCACCAAGGCGACGAUCAGUAGCUGGUCUGAGAGGAUGAUCAGCCACACUGGGACUGAGACACGGCCCAGACUCCUACGGGAGGCAGCAGUGGGGAAUAUUGGACAAUGGGCGCAAGCCUGAUCCAGCCAUGCCGCGUGAGUGACGAAGGCCUUAGGGUUGUAAAGCUCUUUUGUCCGGGAAGAUAAUGACUGUACCGGAAGAAUAAGCCCCGGCUAACUUCGUG